UGGAGAAAAUUGAAUGAGAUUAUUUAUUUGUUCUCUCACUGUGAAAGUUUUUUAUUUUUUUUAUUUUUUUAUUUUUUUUAUAUAAUUUCAUGGAAAGUUCAGUUUGUUGCAGCAUGGGAAAAGCAAUGCAGUUAGAUUAUAUUUUAAAUUAUUAAUUCAUUUGAUAGGAACACUUUUGAAACAAAACAGAGGGUCUCUAAACUAGCUCAUAACACAAGAUCCCAUUCUCCUUAGAGAAUCGACAUCAUUAAUUACUUGUCUGAACAAAAAUACAAUCAUGUAAUGAUACUCCCAGUGCAGGCCUGUGGGGUAACAGUCACAGAUGUUGUCUUUUUGAAAAUGAGUUUACACCUGCAGUUUCCUCAAUUAACAACUUAAAGUUCACAUUAAAACCAUACUGUUGCCAAAUCCCCUUUUAAAAUAACCUCCACACACACACACACACACGCAUGAUUUCUCUCAAAAUUUCAAGUGUACAGAGUACAUUGCAUUUAUUGGCUUAUUAUACUAUAUGCAGUAAUCAAUUUGAAAUUAUUACAGCUUUCAUUAAAUAAAAAUAGAGUACCAGUAUCAAUAACAGUAUCAAUAACAGGUACACACACACACACACACACACACACAGGCUGUAUACUGGUAUAGGGAGCUAUGGAUAUUUGUGUGGGCAGAACACAGCCUAUGUUCUUUUUCUCCUCCUCCUCGCUCCAUUUCUUUAUCCUCCAUCUUACUCGGUCGCUCUCUCUUUGGGUUUUAUUUCUCUUUGGGUCUAAAGCACAACCUCUGUGAGAGGUCUUUAAGUGUUCUUUCAGACUGCUGGAGAGUUGUUAUUUUUUUUGUGGGGUCAGAUUACUGGAUGAGGCCUGAAGUCAUUAAAUGGAUGAAUCAAUAUGGAAACCACACAGCAAAAUGUCCAGAACCACAGAACUCAUUUUCUCUAUAUAACAAAUCUGCAGGAACUGCACUAAAAGGUAAAACUAUUCAUGUCUUGUGCUGUAUAUUUAAAAAUGUGAUGUUGUAAUCUUUCAAAUUGUUAGACCACUGUGAAAUGCAGCAAAGCUAGACAUUUUGAAAUAUACAAGGGUCCACUGAAUGAAUCCCAUUUCUAUACAGCAACACUCAGUCCUACACAGUGAUUCUGCCUCAGGCCUAAAUUCAAAUUACAGUUUAUCUGGUAAAGUGUUUACUUUCACAUCUUUAACUGUUUCAUGUAUAUUGUUAAAUAUUUCUUAAAACUAUUGUACCUACCUCAGCAUUUUACAAGCAGCAGACCUAUUCUUAGUACAGAAUCAUCAAAAGGCACCUUGCUACUGUUCAUUACGAAUGUAUUUUAAACCUGAUGUACCAGUUUGAACUCAUAUUUGUUCAAUCCUGUUUAUCCAGCACAUAGAACAGUUUAGCUGAGCAGCAGCAUAGUAUGUGAUAAUGUUCAUUUUUAGGGCUGUGCCAGCUUGUAUGCCAAAAAUGCACAGAUAUUUUGGUAGAGAUUGCUUUGUUAAAUAUCAAAAUUAUACACUGCAACUAUAUUAGAAAUAAAAUAUGUCUGGUUAUAAUGCCA
ensembl:lncRNA